rnacentral:rRNA from 1 species
UAAUACGUAGGUGGCAAGCGUUGUCCGGAUUUACUGGGCGUAAAGAGCGCGCAGGCGGUCGUUCAAGUCGCGUGUGAAAGCCCCCGGCUCAACUGGGGAGGGUCACGCGAUACUGAUCGACUCGAAGGCAGGAGAGGGUAGUGGAAUUCCCGGUGUAGUGGUGAAAUGCGUAGAUAUCGGGAGGAACACCAGUGGCGAAGGCGACUACCUGGCCUGUUCUUGACGCUGAGGCGCGAAAGCUAGGGGAGCAAACGGGAUUAGAUACCCCGGUAGUCCACGCCGUAAACGGUGGGCACUAGGUGUGGGGGACAUUCCACGUUCUCCGUGCCGAAGCUAACGCAUUAAGUGCCCCGCCUGGGGAGUACGGCCGCAAGGCUA